ACCUGCCCAGAAGCGGGGGAUAACACCUGGAAACAGAUGCUAAUACCGCAUAACAACUUGGACCGCAUGGUCCGAGUUUGAAAGAUGGCUUCGGCUAUCACUUUUGGAUGGUCCCGCGGCGUAUUAGCUAGAUGGUGAGGUAACGGCUCACCAUGGCAAUGAUACGUAGCCGACCUGAGAGGGUAAUCGGCCACAUUGGGACUGAGACACGGCCCAAACUCCUACGGGAGGCAGCAGUAGGGAAUCUUCCACAAUGGACGAAAGUCUGAUGGAGCAACGCCGCGUGAGUGAAGAAGGGUUUCGGCUCGUAAAACUCUGUUGUUAAAGAAGAACAUAUCUGAGAGUAACUGUUCAGGUAUUGACGGUAUUUAACCAGAAAGCCACGGCUAACUACGUGCCAGCAGCCGCGGUAAUACGUAGGUGGCAAGCGUUGUCCGGAUUUAUUGGGCGUAAAGCGAGCGCAGGCGGUUUUUUAAGUCUGAUGUGAAAGCCUUCGGCUCAACCGAAGAAGUGCAUCGGAAAACUGGGGAACUUGAGUGCAGAAGAGGACAGUGGAACUCCAUGUGUAGCGGUGAAAUGCGUAGAUAUAUGGAAGAACACCAGUGGCGGAAGGCGGCUGUCUGGUCUGUAACUGACGCUGAGGCUCGAAAGUAUGGGUAGCAAACAGGAUUAGAUACCCUGGUAGUCCAUACCGUAAA
rnacentral:rRNA from 1 species